GUGCUCACUUUGGCAGCACAUGUACUAAAAACAGAACGAUACAGAGAUCAGCAGGCCCCCUGCGCACGGAUGACAUGCAAAUCAUCUAUCUGAUAAGGGGCUUA
ensembl:snRNA U6 U6 spliceosomal RNA